AUGCUCAAAAUUCUCCAAGCCAGGCUUCAGCAGCACGUGAACUGUGAAGUUCCAGAUGUUCAAGCUGGUGUUAGAAAAUGCAGAGGAACCAGAGAUCAAAUUGCCAACAUCUGCUGGAUCACUGAAAAAGCAAGAGAGUUCCAGACAAACAUCUGUUUCUGCUUUAUUGACUAUGCCAAAGCCUUUAACUGGGUGGAUCACAAGAAACUAUGGACAAUUCUGAAAGAAAUGGGAAUACCAGACCACCUGACCUGCAUCUUGAGAAACCUAUAUGCAGGUCAGGAAGCAACAGUUAGAAGUGGACAUGGAACAACAGACUGGUUCCAAAUAAGAAAAGGGUUCCAAAUAGGAAAAGGAGUAUGUCAAGGAGUAUUGUCACCCUGCUUAUUUAACUUAAAUGCAGAGUACAUCAUGAGAAAUGCUGGGCUGGAAGAAGCAGAAGCUGGAAUCAAGAUUGCCAGGAGAAACAUCAAUAACCUCAGAUAUGCAGAUGACACCACCCUUAUGGCAGAAAGUGAAGAACUAAAAAGCCUCUUGAUGAAAGUGAAAAAGGAGAGUGAAGAAGUUGGCUUAAAGCUCAACAUUCAGAAAACGAAGAUCAUGGUAUCUGGUCCCAUCACUUCAUGGGAAAUAGAUGGGGAAACAGUGGAAACAGUGUCAGACUUUAUUUUUUGGGGCUCCAAAAUCACUGCAGAUGGUGAUUGCAGCCAUGAAAUUAAAAGACGCUUACUCCUUGGAAGGAAAGUUAUGAUCAACCUAGAUAGGAUAUUGAAAAGCAGAGACAUUACUUUGCCGACAAAGGUCCGUCUAGUCAAGGCUAUGGUUUUUCCAGUAGUCAUGUAUGGAUGUGACAGUUGGACUGUGAAGAAAGCUGAGUGCCGAAGAAUUGAUGCUUUUGAAGUGUGGUGUUGGAGAAGACUCUUGAGAGUCUCUUGGACUGCAAGGAGAUCCAACCAGUCCAUUCUGAAGGAGAUCAGCCCUGGGAUUUCUUUGGAAGGAAUGAUGCUAAAGCUGAAACUCCAGUACUUUGGCCACCUCAUGCGAAGAGUUGACUCAUUGGAAAAGACUCUGAUGCUGGGAGGGAUUGGGGGCAGGAGGAGAAGGGGACGACACAGGGUGAGAUGGCUGGAUGGCAUCAGUGACUCGAUGGAUGUGAGUCUGAGUGAACUCCGGAAGUUGGUGAUGAACAGGGAGGCCUGGCGUGCUGCAAUUCAUGGGGUCGCAAGGAGUAGGACAUGA
rnacentral:lncRNA from 1 species